UCAUGUAAGAAUCACGACACAUUACACGUGGAAGAUUGAUAUUUUACACAUUUGCUGACAGCAGAAAGGCGCCUAACGUUCUUUCCUUUAUUAAUAAGCAUAAUACAAAUGGCGAGAAUAUUUCGUUCUGUGUUCUUUUUUAUUGUGAUUUGGCGACAGAAUACCGCUGUAUCAGCGGACAAAGAUCUACAAGCACGUUUCGAAGAGUUAGAGAAUAAAAUCGUUGCAGAAAAUGAAAAGUUACAAAUUGCCUUUUCGGAUUGCAAAGAGAGAAAUACCCGUCUCGAAGACAAAAUUAACGCGCUAGAAAAUCGUCUUACCUUUCAAGAACGCAACGAGUUACAUAAUGAUCUUACGAACAAAAGAAGACAAUCACCACCAGAAACAGUUGCUUUUACAGCCUACGUCAGCAACGAACCACAAGCUCAUCUUGCAGAUGGCCAAAUAAUAUCAUUUGACCGUACCGUAACCAAUAUUGGUCAAGCCUUUAAUGUUUUUUUCGCACACGUUUACCUGCCCUGUCACCGGUCUGUACCUUUUCUCGGUUGUGAUGUCUAAGAUUUGGCCAUCUGAGGUGGUAGCAAAACUCGUCAUUGAUGGAGUUGGUAUUGUUGAAGCGAUUUCGAAUCCCGUCCAACACGCCAAUCAACAAAAUGACUAUCACGACCAACAAGGAGCUAACAUUGCUGUCGUGGAGGUCAGGAGAGGGCAAUCAUAUGUUGUCAACUAUCUGCACUCAGACGUGGUAUUGCGUAGCGAUGAAAUCCAUCGAUUUACCACGUUCAGCGGGGUGCUGUUGCAUGAAAUGUAGCGAUAUAUGAUAUACUGAAAUAAACGUUCAGAAAAACAUGAACGAUCAGAUAAUAACGACUUUGUUUGUCUCACUAAGAAAUUAAAAAUUAUAAAUUAAAUAAAACAUG